GCCGGUGCGACUGGGAAGUAGGACGUCUGGGGAGGUUGGGGGGGGUAAUGAGAGUUCUCAGGACAGCUGUUGAGGAGUUGUUGAGCUGUCAGCGCCACCACAGACGCUGCUGUCACCCGCGAUGUGCCCACCACUCCUUCGCUCCACAAGUGCCACUCGGGGUGGCUCCUAUGGACCAGCCCCGCCCAGGAGCUGGGGAGCAACACAGACGUCCCCACCCUCAGGGAGCCCACAGUGCCAUGUUUGCUGAAUGGAUUCCCGAAGGGGCUCAACGACCUCAAACAGACGCGUAGAGGUGGAGCCCUCCUUGGAGUGUUUCUGUGCCACCCAGGCUGUCCAGGGGCAAAUUCCUAGAUGAGGAAACUGAGUCUGGAGAGACUGGAUUCCUGGCCCCGGCCACCCAGGCUCAUAAGUGGCCAUGCUGGGACUCGGCCCAGCCCGUCCCUGCACAGUGGGCAGCCUACCUGCCAAUGCUGCUUGUUCAUUUGUGACUUGACUGCUUCCAGGAGGCAGUGUAGCAGGAUGGCAAGAGAACUGCCUCCAGGCCCUCUGUCCUUGACCGCUGUGCAACAGGACAAGUACUUCACUGCUCUGAACCUCGGUUUUCUCAUCUGGGAGAUAAGAUAUCGAUCAAGCGCUAAUGAAAUGCCAAACAGUGUUCUUGGUCCCCGGGACAGAGUGAAGAAAAGAACAAAAACCUUUGCCCUUGUGGAAUUUACCUUCUUUGGUGGGGAGCAGGACGAUAAACAAAAGACAAAUAAAAUUUAUGGUAUGUCAGAUGGCAGUAAGUGCCACAGAGAAAAAUGCAGCGGGGAAGAAGGGGAGGUCUCCAGUGAGAGAAGGGCAUGGCUAUGCGGGCAGGAGGAGCCCCUGCAUCUCUGCUAGAACCCAGACAAGGGUGGAGUGGGCAAGGUGCCCAGGACCCUGCACUGAGGGGGUCCUCGCCUGCUCUCAGGGGCUACAAGUGCCCUGGGACCUGCCUUCUGCACUUGCCCAUCCUCUUCCUCCACCCAACACCCCAAGAGUUAGAGAGCUCAAAGGUCCCAGCAGAGGGGUCCACGCGGGAGCCAGCCCUCUGCCAGACCACCGGCUGGAAAUAUCCCCUGGGCUAGCAGGCUCUGGACCAGCCCAGAUCAGUGGGGAAUGCGCUGCCGGCUCAUUACCCAGCCCUAAUCUGGGCGGCUUCUCUUUCUUCACUCCAAGAAAGAGAGGGAGCCGUGCAGCCUUUUGGAGUGGCCGGGGUCUCUCUGCCACAGACAGUCCAGGCUGGGGCUGGUCUUGUGGGGCCUGGGGAGGGUGCAGGCUAGGUGGGCAAGGGCUUG